GACAGAGGGUGCAAACGUUGUUCGGAAUUACUGGGCGUAAAGCGCGUGUAGGCGGCUAUGCAAGUCGGAUGUGAAAGCCCUCGGCUCAACCGGGGAAGUGCACCCGAAACUGCAAAGCUAGAGUCUCGGAGAGGAUCGUGGAAUUCUCGGUGUAGUGGUGAAAUACGUAGAGAUUGGGAAGAACACCAGUGGCGAAGGCGGCUAUCUGGACGGUUUCUGACGCUAAGACGCGAAAGCGUGGGGAGCAAACAGG
rnacentral:rRNA from 1 species